GGCUCGAUGGCUUAGUUGGUAAAGCACUCGUCUAGCAUACAAGAAAUCUGGGUUCGAAUCACAGCUGAGCCU
rfam:Aedes aegypti strain Liverpool supercont1.710 genomic scaffold, whole genome shotgun sequence.